GCCCUUAUCGUCUAGAUGGGCUAAGGACAUUUCCCUUUCACGGAAACAACGAGGAUUCAAAUUCCUCUAAGGGUA
rnacentral:tRNA from 1 species